rnacentral:tRNA from 1 species
GGGGCUGUAGCUCAGCAGGGAGAGCGCUACCCUUGCACGGUAGAUGUCGCAGGUUCGAUUCCUGUCAGCUCCACCA